UGGAGAAACUGAGGAGAGUGGGUGGACGGACAUUAUAAAGGAAGUGCCUAAUAUCUGUAUGAACCGUGGGGGGUGUAGGUGCAGCUAAAGCUAACUGAACUAACUACCAAUUUCGGAAAGCUCCUCCAUCCUCAAUAAUAAAAAACUCGCUGCUAUCUUCUCUUCACAUUACACAAGCAUAGCUCAAAUUCUUCAUUUCUUCACCAAUGGAAUCCUCUCUUCUUCUUCGAUCCUUUCAAUGUAACCUGCACACUCAAGGCUUGACUGUUGGGAGGAAGCUGAUAUCGUAUCCAGUAAAGAGAGAUCGAAGACUAGUAUCCUGUGUUAAAACAUCUGAAGCUCCUGCAAUAGCCAAGACUGACGAUUCCAAUAAACAAGGGUCAUUGGAGAAGAAUUCUCAACGAAAUGCAACUUUUCCAAAUGGAUUUGAAGCAUUGAUACUAGAUGUCUGUGACGAGACAGAGGUUGCUGAGCUGAAACUUAAGGUUGAGGACUUUGAAAUGCAUCUGAAGCGGAACAUUGGGGUUGCAAAAGCUCCCUUUACAUCAUCAACACCACUAUCACCACCACCUAUUCCAACUCCACCAAUGGAGUUAUCAGCAGCUGUUUCUCCAGCACCAUUGCCAUCUAAAUCCUCUGUCGAGAAAACCACUCCCUUUACAAAUGUCUCCUUCAGGAAGUCAUCUAAGUUGGCAGCGUUAGAGGCUUCUGGAGCUAGUGGAUAUGUUCUAGUUGCUUCUCCAACUGUUGGCUCAUUUCGAAGGAACAGAACGGUGAAAGGAAAGAAGCAGCCACCUAUCUGCAAAGAGCUAUGUGUCAUUUGCCAGUUAAUUUGAUUGUAGAUGGUUGGAUAGUCCCAGGGUGAUGAGACAUUGUUUAAGCUUAGUGGAUUUAUAGUACAUGUGGAAGUAAUUAUCCAUUACUGAUGGACUGCAGAUAAGUAACUCUAGUUAUGCUCUGCUCAUUUAUUAAAGGAGAAUAGCCAUGUUAAUGGGAUAAGUGUGCGCAGAUAACUGGCAUGUGCUAGGAAUUCUGUAAGAUCUGAAUCUGGAGAUCUCAAAUUUAAAAUGUGAUCCAGAUCAUUUUUCCAUCAUCAAAAUUGUGGCCUGGCAUGCGGGUGAUGUGAUUAAAGAAGGACAAGUGAUAGGAUAUUUGGAUCAAUUUGGCACUGAACUUCCUGUGAAAUCUGAUGUGGCGGGAGAAGUAUUAAAGCUCCUCUUCAAUGAUGGAGAUGCAGUUGGUUAUGGAGACCCUC